rnacentral:lncRNA from 1 species
CAGCAACAAAAAUAUGGCACAGUUGUUGUUUCUGACCUCUAACCGGCUCCAUGUGGCACCUGAGAGAUGGAUGUAGAGCUUCAAGGCUUUCUCUAUACUGCAAAGCAAUUUAUUCUGUAGUCUAAAGAUCCAGGUCAGAUGUGUUGGUGUUACACAAGAGGGUAACUUAGAAGCUGCAGCCCCAAGUCAGGACAUUCUCUAGAGAACCAACACUAUUUGAUGCAGAAGGACUGAACCUGCCCAUCUGGGUCCUGAGAG